rnacentral:rRNA from 1 species
AUUGAACGCUGGCGGCAGGCCUAACACAUGCAAGUCGAGCGAGCGGCGGACGGGUGAGUAAUGUAUGGGGACUGCCCGAUAGAGGGGGAUAACUACUGGAAACGGUAGCUAAUACCGCAUACUAUCGGAUUACCAAUGUGGGAUUAGCUAGUAGGUGAGGUAAUGGCUCACCAAGGCGACGAUCCCUAGCUGGUCUGAGAGGGUGAACAGCCACACUGGAACUGAGACACGGCCCAGACUCCUACGGAGGCAGCAGUGGGGAAUAUUGCGCAAUGGGCGAAAGCCUGAUGGAGCAAUGCCGCGUGAGUGAAGAAGGCCCUAGGGUUGUAAAGUACUUUCAGUCGGGAGGCGUUACCGACAGAGGAAGCACCGGCUAACUCCGUGCCAGCAGCCGCGGUAAUUC